rnacentral:rRNA from 1 species
AGUGAACGCUAGCGGUAGGCCUAACACAUGCCAGUCGAACGGCAGCACAGUAAGAGCUUGCUCUUACGGGUGGCGAGUGGCGGACGGGUGAGGAAUACAUCGGAAUCUACUUUUUCGUGGGGGAUAACGUAGGGAAACUUACGCUAAUACCGCAUACGACCUACGGGUGAAAGCAGGGGAUCUUCGGACCUUGCGCGAUUGAAUGAGCCGAUGUCGGAUUAGCUAGUUGGCGGGGUAAAGGCCCACCAAGGCGACGAUCCGUAGCUGGUCUGAGAGGAUGAUCAGCCACACUGGAACUGAGACACGGUCCAGACUCCUACGGGAGGCAGCAGUGGGGAAUAUUGGACAAUGGGCGCAAGCCUGAUCCAGCCAUACCGCGUGGGUGAAGAAGGCCUUCGGGUUGUAAAGCCCUUUUGUUGGGAAAGAAAAGCAGCAGGUUAAUACCCCGCUGUUCUGACGGUACCCAAAGAAUAAGCACCGGCUAACUUCGUG